AAAGUCGUAACAAGGUUCCGUAGGUGAACCUGCGGAAGGAUCAUUAGUGAAUAAACUUGUGUGAGUUGUUGCUGGUCACCUCGGUGGCAUGUGCACACUUGCCGUCGUUUCAUUCCUUCCCUUCCACCUGUGCAUUCAUUGUAGACCACACUACUGUCUUUCAGGUCAGUGCCCUCCUGCACUUUCCUGGUGUGAGGACCUGCCUCUUCCCGGGGGCUGUUCUUGGGUUGUGUUGGCCUAUGUUCUCAUUCACCCUAUUGUAUGUUACUGAGUGUAUGACCUGGGUCCAUUGAACCCAUAAAAUCUAUACAACUUUCAACAACGGAUCUCUUGGCUCUCGCAUCGAUGAAGAACGCAGCGAAAUGCGAUAAGUAAUGUGAAUUGCAGAAUUCAGUGAAUCAUCGAAUCUUUGAACGCACCUUGCGCUCCUUGGUAUUCCGAGGAGCAUGCCUGUUUGAGUGUCAUUAAAUCCUCAAUCUCAUCAUUCUUAUGGAUGCAACGGGGUUGGAUCUGGAAGUCUGCUGGCCCCUCUGGUCAGCUCUUCUGAAAUGCAUUAGCAGAGUCCAAUUGUAUGCGAGGCUGCGGCUUGGUAUUGAUAGUUGUCUUACCAGGUAGUUGCCAAGCUUAGUGCUCAGCUUCAUGUUGGUCUCGUCAUUGAGACCGUUCAUCUGACGAUUUGACCUCAAA
rnacentral:rRNA from 1 species